rnacentral:lncRNA from 1 species
CUAAAUAAAAUACAAAAUAGGGCUGGGGAUGUGGCUCAGUGGUCCAGUGUCCCUGAGUUUAAUCCCUGGUACCAAAAAAAAAAAAGUAUGAUUUCUGCUGGGCACUGUGGUGCACACCCUAAUUCUAGCAAUUUGGGAGCUGAGUCAAGAGGAUUGCAAGGUUGAGGCCAGUGUUAGCAAUUUAGCAAGGCUCUAAGCAACUUAACAAGACUGUCUCAAAAUAAAAAUAAAUACAAAGGGCAGGGGUUGUCACUUACUGGUAAAGUCCCUCUGGGUUCAAUUCCCAUUACCAGAAAAAAAAAAAAAAAAAGAGGGAAAAAAAUUUAGUGAUACGCUAAACAGCUAGUGAGACCCUGUCCCAAAAUAAAAAAUAAAACGUGCUGGGAAUGUAGCUCGUAGUAAAGUGCCUCUGGGGUCAAUUCCCAGUAACUUCCACCCCAAAAUUAUGAUUUCUUAUUUUGAAUAAAUAGUCUAUUUGUGCCAGAUUAUGUGUAUUUUUUUUUCUUAAUGAGAGUUCCAAAAAUUACAUAAGGGCUGGGGCUGGGUCUCAGUGGUAGAGCACUUGCCUAGCAUGCAUGAGGCCCUGGGUUCCAUCCUCAGCACUGCAAAAAACAAAAUGUACCUUUCAGGUCCCACAGAACCUCUAUCUGCCUUCAGCCCUCAGGGUGACUAUCUUGGCAAAGAUUAAGCUUCUCUGUUUUGGAAGACCUGGUUACAACUUGUCUCCUCUAGCCCUUUGGAAAAUGAAAAUGUCUUGGCCUUUAACUUGAUUUUGAUUAAAAUAAGACUUUAUAAGGCCAGAACUUUUGCAGAUUGAGGUGUGACUAUAGUACUAGAUUUCUUUUCCCUCCUCCACAUACUGUGAAUCUUAGCAACCCCAGCAUAGGAAUUUUUCCUCUUGUUAAAGUACUUCACAGCUUCUGUUUAGCAUAUCUGAAUUGCCAGCAUCAUUCCUCUUGUGUUUGGGGGCCAUUAGUAAGUAAAGUAAGAGUUACUUGAACACAAGCACUGUGUCACUGUCAGGGCCAAUGUAAUAACCAGGCUGGCUGCAGAUGGGCAGGUGGUUUACACAGGGUGGUUACCUUGGAAGGGGAACCUUUUUUGUGUGGCCUGGCCAUAGCCCUCGGGGUAGGCAAGUGCUCCUACCAGCCAUUUUUUUUCUUUUUUUCUUUUCUUUUUUUUUCAUUUUGAGACAUAUCUCAUUAAAUUGCC